rnacentral:lncRNA from 1 species
GGCUGAGCUUGUGGCGCGACAUAAGGAAUCUUAGAGGAGUUUGCCCCAGACUUUAAACUUUACAAGAUAUAUGUUGAUGACAUGUAUCGUAUGGAGGGACGAUAAUUGCAGUCCUGAAAUUACGCAUAAGCUAACGAAUGAUACUUUAGGGCUCUCUACUAGAAUAGAGCAAUUUAGUACUGAUGGAUUUCACUUUCUUGAUGUCAAUGUGUCUAUAGAAAGGGGUGAAUAUGUUACAAAUAUAUAUAAAAAAACCUACCUAUUCCCCGGUUAUCAUUCUGGCCUGGUCGCGUGACCCAACUGAUAUAAAUCCGCAGCAUUCAGAGCCCUGUCCU